CCGCCCGUAGGAGUGAGGAAUCUUCCACAAUGGGCGAAAGCCUGAUGGAGCGACACCGCGUGAAGGAUGAAGCCUUUGUUGGUGUAAACUUCUUUUCUCUGGGAAGAUAAUGACGGUACCAGAGGAAUAAGGGGCGGCAAACUUCGUGCCAGCAGCCGCGGUAAUACGAAGGCCCCAAGCGUUAUCCGGAAUUACUGGGUGUAAAGCGUCUGUAGGUGGUCUAGCAAGUCUUUCUGUGAAACUCUGGAGC
rnacentral:rRNA from 1 species